rnacentral:rRNA from 1 species
AUUGAACGCUGGCGGUAUGCUUAACACAUGCAAGUCGAACGGUAACAUAGGAGCUUGCUCCUGAUGACGAGUGGCGGACGGGUGCGUAACGCGUGGGAAUUUACCUUAUAGUGGGGGAUAGCCCGGAGAAAUCCGGAUUAAUACCGCAUAAUCUCUACGGAGGAAAAGGGGCCUCUCCUUGGAAGCUCUUGCUAUUAGAUGAGCCCGCGUUAGAUUAGCUAGUUGGUGAGGUAAUGGCUCACCAAGGCGACGAUCUAUAGCUGGUUUGAGAGGAUGAUCAGCCACACUGGGACUGAGACACGGCCCAGACUCCUACGGGAGGCAGCAGUGGGGAAUAUUGGACAAUGGGCGCAAGCCUGAUCCAGCAAUACCGCGUGUGUGAAGAAGGCCUGAGGGUUGUAAAGCACUUUCAAUAGAGAAGAAAAGCCUAGGACUAAUACUUCUGGGUGUUGACGUUAUCUAUACAAGAAGCACCGGCUAACUCCGUGCCAGCCGCCGCCGUAACAC